UAAUUUUCACACUAUCCCUCCAAUAUCUCUCUACCACUUUCAGAAACCCACAUUCCCGUUCCUUUUUCUUCUUCGUUACCUGAGCAUCCAUCCUCCCAUCCUCCCAAUCUUCAACUUCUCAUUUUCCUUCAUUUUUUUAAAUGAAUCAAACCCAAAAGCUUGGCAAAGCUCCUUAAACCCAUUUUUAAACCUUGCAUGUCUCAAUUUGUAACUAGUAACCGGUUUCAAUCAAAGCAACAGAGGAUACUAACCAACAAAUGAAGAAGAGUCAAAGUGGCAAUUCAGGCAAAAGGGGAGUUCAACGACCAAUUUAAUCGGAACAUUGUCUUCUCCUUUAUCACCAACACAGCUGGAGGAACAUGGGACAUGAAAUCAGCAUCAGAAGAUCAGUUCCAAACUCGUGGAAUUAAAAUUUAAUAUUUUGUUUUAUGAUGUAAUCAGUCAAUCGUAGUUGUUUUCAAGAUGUAAUAUUUUAUGAAUCUACUAAACAAGUUGUAAACUAUAUUUAUGAAUGUAGUUUUCAGUUA